CUGUUCGUAGUUUAUUAGAAUAAGGGCUUUGGGUGUCUUAGGUGGAGAAUUGAGUGGC
rnacentral:tRNA from 1 species